GGGAAUCAUGUGGUCGCUAGAGCCCAGCUUCUUCGAUGAGCAUGGAGCGCUUGUAAGUGAUCUUCCAGCGCUAGAUCCAGAGGAUGCAGCUGCAUGGCUCUCCGCUUCCACCACUUUCUCGACGUUGAGCAUCACGGCAACGGUGAAGGGUGUUGCGUUGCAAUCAGUGAAUGCUGCAAACCGCUAUGCGCUGGUGCACAGGUUGGAACAGAAGUAUCCCGGCUGGAUGCUGCUCAAAGUGGUGCUUGCGGAGGUGCACUAUCUUCUGUUUGACAAAGCUGGGGCGCAGCAGCGGCUGCUCGAUGUCCAAGAUGCCAUAGGGCGUGGUAAGGAUGAGCAGCUGGACAGGGCCGUGCUGGAGCUUUCCAAGCUUAUCCAGGAGGAGGACGAUGGAGAUGAAGAUGACGAAGAGGCGGAGGUGGAAGAAGGCAUGCAAGUCACUUCCUAUGUGCGACCUCAACCUUUCUCGUCUGUUCCGUGUUCGUGGAGUGCGGAGGAGAUUCGGCACAAGUGGCAGACGAGAACUGAAGUUGAUAUUGCUGAGUUUGGUCGCUACGCAGCCAUCACCACAAACGUCCUGGAAGGAGUGUUUUCGCUUGAGGGUCGCAGCUUGUCGCGGCUGGUCAAGCGUGGAUUCGACGUUGACUCGAUCGAGGGUGUUCCUGCCACCAGUCGCAUCAAGAGGAAGGCCAAGAUCGUGCAAAUCCUGGAGAACACACAGUCCUGCUUCGAAUACCUCAUAAAGAAUUCUUCUGCUUUCAAUGACUCGACGAUCCAAGAUGUACACAAGAGACUUAUGGAGGGGAACAAUCUCAACCACGAGGUUGACGAUGGUCAGUUUUAUGCGUGUCUCGUGCCUUGCGGCAGCUACCGCCGAGUUCCAUGCUAUACAACCAAUGGCAACUUGGAAACUCGAUUUUGUCCUUGGAGGCAGAUCCCUACGGAGAUGCAGUGGUUCUUUGAAGAGGCUCGGCAAGCAAUGUCCGACGACUCUGCUGAUCCAUUCUUGGUAUCGGCCUGGCUACACAUCGCGUUUCUCAGCAUUCACCCCUUUGCUGAUGGUAAUGGUCGGGUGGGCCGAAUGAUUUCCUCUCUUCCACUUGUCAAGGCAGGGCUCCCCCCUGUUGUGGUAUCUUUCGAGCGGGAGCGGAAGAAGAAGUACUUCGCUGCACUGAUAGAAGCUCGUAAGUCGGAUGAUCUAGUACCGCUGGCUUCGUUUCUGAAGGAAGAGGUUGAGCUAGCGAUCAUUCACAUCUCCAAUUUGGAUGAUGCCUGAUCUUUGUCUUGAAUUCGUAAUUUCCUAUUAAGCAAUUUCUGGUUGUCGAGCUGAAUUUCUAAUGGAAAUUAAAGCUUAGUCUUCUUGCGUUGUGAAAAAAGAGAUCUCACUCGUUUUUCUAGAGUUGAUUGGCAAGAGUUUCUUUGCAGAUUGCAAGAGUCGAGUCUUGUUUCUUCUCAGGGCAUCAUCCCCGAUCCAUAGGAAGCGCCUGCUUGCUCCCACAACUCACGUUGCUAGGGUCCCUGCCAGUACAGCGCUCAUGCGGGCAGCUGGAGCUGCACCACUUGCUGCAAGGCGGGAGAGGUUCUGACCAAGGUCAUCAAGGUUCUGUAAACAUUUGGUAGUGACCUGGGAUUGAUGCCAGCGUUGUGUAGCAGCAGCACAUUUGGAAGAUUUCACAGUGCAUGGCUCUAGAGCUGGAACUCACACUUCGCAAUAGUAAUGCAAAGGCUCCAAUUCAGUUGAAUUUAUGCAUUUAGAACUUUAACACUCACUCAAGAGCUGGUGCAAAUUGAACCUGUUUAUUUUAUGAUCGGGAGAGCAGGUUGCAUGGUAUAUGAGAGGAAUUAUCCCUUUCCAUUGAGGUAAGAAUUGCCACUUAAAUGCUAUUUUGUGUUAAUUGGAAUUUAUGUAGAUUUAUUGUAAGACAUCAUACUGCAAAAUUUUCAAAGUCAAAAUUGAAAUUGGUGCUAAGACAUAGACUAAAGCCUAAAGAAACAAUCAUCCUUUUGGCUAUGUUCUGUUCCUGUUUCGCAUUCGAAGCAAUGAGCAUCGAGCCAACCACACUCAUCUCAGCACUAAUUGCAUUUCCACCAAUAAAUCUUGUAGGCAAGGCUGCCUUAAAAUCCAUCAAAAGCUUCAUCACAAAUGUCUGGGAACUGGAGAGCAUUGCAAUACAGGCAGCAUCAGAUGAAGGUCAGCUUAUGUACUUGCCAUUUGUGGAAGACAGCAUGAGCAGAUUAAACCCGAGCUCAUCCGUCUACAAGACUUUGGAGAGGGGCAAAAUCAGUCUUGAGAAGCUCAGGAGCUUCGCCUUUGAAGCUUCAAGCAGUGGUACCAUGAACUGGCUUCAGAGGUUUGAUGAGAUUUUAUGGUCUCUUUUUAUCUUGAUCUCCUUGUACAGAAACAAAGACGCCAACAACAUCUUAGAGAUCAAAUCAGAGGUGGAGAAGUUUGUUCACAGCAUGGAUGUGAUAAAUCUCAGCGAGACACUCAAGGCAAACGAGCUGCAAGCUCUCAAGAUGAACGAAUUAUGCGAGUCCCAGAUGCAAGGAAUGAGCAGAUUGUUUGACUUGUGGGAAUCGCGAUUCGAGCAGCUCAUCCAGCUCCAAACUUCUCAGUUCCAGGCUAUCCAGCAGCUGAUUAGCAGUAAUCAGGUAAGUCAACCAAUGUUUAUGCUUGUUCAGUUUAUCUCGUUGAAAACCUACAGCUGAGGCCUCUACCGCAAUUGCAAUCCUCUGACGAUCAAAAUCGACAUUUGCUGCAUGAAAACCACCACCACCACGAUCAAUCACCAACAUCAAUCGUUCGCGCAAUCAAUGGUGGCUUUCAGGUGUGCAUGAACUUCAAGGUAUACCAACAUGUAGUUCCAGUGGCAACGAGCACAAAGCUGCAAACCCAGUUUGCACUCGCGGGCAACGUCCAAAGCUUCCCAUACACCGCUGGUUACGCAGCGGUUGUCAAAGACAAGCUCACAGACGCCGAAGAUUAUCUCUCCAGAGAGGUGGGAAGAGCAAUUGGAUUUUUCACAGUCCCAGCGAAAGGCCUGGUGUACACCACCUUUACCAUGGACUUGAUGGAUCGAGGGACGCUGGCGGCCUCGGGUGUGGCAAUGGCUCCAUCGUUUACUUACAUUGUGAGUGGUGGCACUGGCGAGUUCCUUGGAACCUUUGGCAAGAUGGAAGUUCUCAUUGUUAGCAGUGUUGACGAUGGAGCCAACUUUAUUCUCCUUCACGAUGUCACGCUCUAUUCUUCCACUAGCAUGAAUUAGAAUAUGCUUUGAUACUUCUAAAAUUUAGGGAUUGUGGAUGAUGCUACUCCUGCUAGGCUUGGCGCUCGUCGAGGCGCUGAGCGCGCCGAUUCCUAGGUUUGAGGAGCGCGCAGCUCUCAAGGAGGAUGUCCGAAAUAUGUAAGAUCUGUGAUCUAUCCUUCGUGUAUUUACUGAUUGGAGAGCUCAAUCGAUCGCCAGGUUCCAUCACGCCUACGACAACUACAUGAAAUACGCCUUCCCGGUACGCAUUUCUCUUUCCUGACGAAGGAAACUCACGAGAUUUCGCUUUGUCUGUGGCAGCACGACGAGCUCAAGCCGCUCAGCUUGAGUUAUACUGAUUCGCUAGAGGAGCUUGGAAAUCUUAAGGUAAAGUUCUCGCAGCUUUUCUUCCUUCUACCUUUUUUCUUUUCUUUUUCCUAGCUUGAGCGUCUCUCAGAGACUUACAGUGGAUCGGCUUUGACACUCGUGGAAUCCUUGUCAAGGUAAUAGUGUUCUUGGAUGGAUUUCCAUUUCUUCUUUAUCUUUUCUUCUUAUAUACACAAUGAAACAUUCUCGUCAGCUUGGCAGUCAUGAAGAACAGCAGCGAGUUUGAGAAGGGAGUUUUGUGGCUCGCCGAGAAUUUAUCCUUCGACGUUGAUGUCCGCGUGAACGUUUUCGAGGUACGUUUGAUACCGUCGCAGAGCCAGAUAACGUAAACUCUUUAACGGUGAAGUCUCGCUUCAGUGUAAUAUCAGGUUACUAGGGGGAUUAAUUUCUGCACACUUCCUAGCCAAAGAUUCGAGAAAACAAUUGAUGUCAAAUGGAUACAAUGAUCAGUUGCUUAUGCUUGCAGAGGACUUGGGACUGCGGUUGCUGCCAGCUUUUGACACGCCCACUGGAAUUCCAUACGCUUGGAUCAAUCUGAAGGUUUGCUACAUUUUGUCAACGCUCGCGUUUCAUUUGGAAAGCUUUUUAUAGACCGGAGUGCACCCAAACGAGACGACCGAGACAAGCACUUCCGGGUGUGGUAAGUAGCGAGUUUCGUUCCUUUCUUCGUUCUUUUCGUUGGUUUAAGUAAAAGUUUCAUCUCUCAGGCUCGUUGGUUUUGGAGAUGGGAGCGUUGUCCCGCCUAACUGGCAAUCCACAGUUUGAGAAUUUAGCUUUGCGAGCUCUUCGCAAACUGUGGAGUAUGCGCAGUGAACUCAACUUACUGGGAACGAACCUUGACAUAAAUACUGGACGGUGGACUGAGUACUCUUCAGGCAUUGGUGCUGGUAAUAUUUUUUAAUGUAAUUAUUUGGCCACCGUCCGGCUUGUUCUUUCUGCAGGUAUCGACUCCUUCUAUGAAUAUCUGGUAAAAGCCUACAUUCUUUUCGGAGGCGAAGAAUACUGGGAUAUGUUUCAGGACGCUUACCGAGCUGUCCAACAACACUAUAGAUAUGGUUCCUGGUAAACUAUCAGUAAACAGUUCAUAUGUAUUAAAAGAGCUUUAUAUCAGGUAUCAUGACGCUGAUAUGAGAACUGGGAAAGCUACAUACUGGCAGUUCACGAGUCUGCAAGCAUUUUGGCCUGGACUACAGGUAGGAAUUUAUCGAGAGUUUUAUGAAACGUUAUGAUCUUUUAUUGCAGGUUUUGAUAGGUGAUAUUGCCGCUGCAAACGCUACCCAUAGAGAAUUUCUCCGCUUGUGGGAGAUGUUUGGUAUAUUUCCUGAAAGGUUUCGUUUUGUAGAGUUUUGAUCCUGCUUUGCUUACUAUCCUUAUUAUCUUUUUUUUUGUCUCAGAUACUUACUUGAUGCCGGAAAAGUCCACCCCACAGAAAGAUACUAUCCACUUCGUCCAGAGUUGGCCGAGUCCACAUUUUUUUUAUACCAAGCUACAAAAGGUAGAAUAGUAAGUAAAGUUUGGAUUUAAUUGUAUGUUUUGCUUUUCAGAUCCUUGGUAUUUGGACGUGGGAAAGAAAAUCAUGAACUCUAUCAAUGUGUUUAGCCGCGUCCCCGGAGGCUUUGCUAGCGUCAGAGAUGUCAUGACUAUGAAACUAGAAGACCAUCAACAUAGUUUUUUCUUAUCAGAGACGUAAGUACUCACACCUCCUGCGUGCUGAUGAUCACAAAUCCUUUCAACAGGUGCAAAUACUUGUAUUUGCUAUUUGAUGACAGCUUCUUGGAUGGCGAGAACCAUGUUUUCUCCACCGAGGGCCAUCUCUUCCCUGUCAACCAGUCGUGGCAGCAACAGCCCCGUCCCAAGGUACCAGAGGAUCAAUCUCGCGAAACAUAAGUAGCGUUUGUGUGUUUUGACAGAUAUUGUCAAGGCUACGACUAUUUUCAAGGCAAAAGCCCAUAGACACCAGCGCUCUCGCAUCAAAGACAUGUCCUCGCUUGAGCAGAGGAAGUGUGGAAUCGGCAUGCCACAUCCCAGACACUCGCGCUGACCACCGAUGCGUUUCAAGGUCGGACUGUGGCGUAGACGCGACUACUUGCGCGAAGAGGUCGUGUAGUUUUGCCGGUUAUUGCUCGUGACAAGAUCACCAAAAAAAAGCAUAUAGAAAUUAAUUUUUCUUCCCCAGAAAAAAUAAGAAUUAUUGACAAUCCCAGAAUUGUCGGUCAUAUAUAUAUUGACAAUCCCAGAAGAAAAAAAAAGAAUAAAAGUUAAAUGAAUUUCCAUUGCCGGGAUUUGAACCCGGGUCGCCUGGGUGAAAGCCAGGUAUCCUGACCGGACUAGACGACAAUGGAUCAAUGAAAUAUUGGCCGUUCAAAAAGGUUGAUUACAGUUUAUAAACACGAGAAAGAGACUGCUGCGAAUCAUGUGGUUGCUAGAGCCCAGCUUCUUCAAUGAGCAUGGAGCGCUUGUAAGUGAUCUGGCUUUUGCAUUUGGCAAUCAUUGAUAACUAUUAACUAUCAUCUAAGAUAAUUGAUUAUUCUUGUCAAAAGCCAGUGCUAGAUCCAGAGGAUGCAGCUACAUGGCUCUCCGCUUCCACCACUUUCUCGACGUUGAGCAUCACGGCAUUGGUGAGGGGCGUUGUUUUGCAAUCUAUGAAUGCUAAACAGCGUUAUAGGCAAUUGCACAGGGUGGAAAAGGAAAACAAGUACCCUAGCUGGAUGCUACUCAAAGUGGUGCUGGCGGAAGUGCAUUAUCUUUUGUUCGACAAAGCUGGGGCGCAGCAGCGGCUGCUGGAUGUCCAAGAUGCCAUAGGGCGUGGUAAGGAUGAGCAGCUGGACAGGGCCGUGCUGGAGCUUUCCAAGCUUAUCCAGGAGGAGGACGAUGGAGAUGAAGAUGACGAAGAGGCGGAGGUGGAAGAAGGCAUGCAAGUCACUUCCUAUGUGCGACCUCAACCUUUCUCGUCUGUUCCGUGUUCGUGGAGUGCGGAGGAGAUUCGGCACAAGUGGCAGACGAGAACUGAAGUUGAUAUUGCUGAGUUUGGUCGCUACGCAGCCAUCACCACAAACGUCCUGGAAGGAGUGUUUUCGCUUGAGGGUCGCAGCUUGUCGCGGCUGGUCAAGCGUGGAUUCGACGUUGACUCGAUCGAGGGUAUUCCUGUCACCAGUUGCAUCAAGACGAAGGCCAAGAGGAAGGCCAAGAGGGAGGCCAAGAUCGUGCAAAUCCUGGAGAACACACAGUCCUGCUUCGAAUACCUCAUGAAGAAUUCUGCUGCUUUCAAUGACUCGACGAUCCAAGAUGUACACAAGAGACUU
rnacentral:lncRNA from 1 species